CUCACCUACUUCUGCAUUUUGUUCUGCCACCAUUUCUGAGCCUCACUUGCUUGCAUCUCUGCCCUGCUAGGCUUGCAAGUGCCAGUGUUUGAUGUUUUAAUGCAUUUACACAAGCAUCCACUAGCAAGCAAGCACGGCAUCAGAAGAGUGAUGUAGGGUCAAGAUUCAGAGAGGAGCAAGGCAGGAUUUUGGUGCCCGCUUUCCAGCCUGCAGGAAUGAGCUAUGGAAGAAAUCUUUGUUCAAGGAAUUCAUUAGAUACACAAAGGGAAUGAAACUCUGAAGUUUCUCUCCACAUGCAUUCUACUGAAUUUGCUAGGGAUUGUCCAAAAAACAAAAAAAAAAGAAUAUUCCCAGAUCUAAUCUGAAAAAACAUUUUGUUCCAGUUAUAACGAAGACAGUGAACUUCUGGAAUAUCACCAAACCACUCUCUGUAAAGCAUCACUCAGAAAACCACGGAGAGGGGUCUUACUCACUAUUUUCAAAUCUCUUUUUAGAUUGCUAAUAAAAAGACCCCACUGAAUUUACAAACAGUUUUUCUUGUUGUACUAAGAGUCAAGAAUAAUUUAAGA
rnacentral:lncRNA from 1 species